CUCCGGUGAUGACUUCCAUUUUGUGCCACGUGUCUGGGCCACUGAAAUGCUGUGAUGGGAAUGAGGAACUGAGGAG